ACUGUUUUUAUUGUAUUUUUUUUAUCAAAUAAAUGAGACUUGUGCUUAAAAACAUAAAACUGACUAAAACUUUAUUAUCAUUAUUAUUCAUUUAUUUAUUAACCUUAUUUUAUUUUAAUGAAGUAAUGUUCUGAAUUUACCUUGUCGUCAAGUGUGGUAAAAUGUUUAGACUCGGAUACUGUAGCUUAAAUGAUGAUAAAGUGCCAUGAUGAAGACUUGAUUUGUCAAAAAGUGAAUAGCUACUGGUUUGACCUCAGUAUUCAUUCACGGAAGAGAGAAUGUUGCUGAUUGCUUUUGAUAUCAGCAUAUCGAAUGAAGUGCUGAUGAGCAUGCGAUUUACAGAACGGCCUUUAAUAGGUAACCUUGUCCCUCCAGCUGUCAGGGGAAUUCUGUGAACAAAAACAGUUCUCCUAGCUCUCUCUCUCUCUCUCUCUCUCUCUCUCUCUCUCUCUCUCUCUCUCUCUCUCUCUCUGGGUCUAGGGGAGCAGACUGGUUCUCAUGUCCUUGAGGUCUGUCAUGUUGGCAUCUUAAUUUUUCUUAGAUUUUUUGUUUGUUUGUUUUUCCUCUCUGUUGUUUGUCAACAUUGUUUUGUAUUCGUUUUGGUGUAUGGUCGUAAGGCACCCAACUUGACAGUCGUCUCAACAGGAAGAAGCGGAGUAGGUUCAUGCAAGGACAGAAGCGAAAGAGAACGAGAAGGAAGAAGUUUAGCUCCACUGGGAGCAAGUGGGAGAAAAAGAGAGAGAGCAAACCCUCGAGUUCAUCAAUGUGUUUCCAAUCUUUACUGGCAGGACAUCACCUCAGCACCAUUACAAGUCCUCUGAAUGCAGCAUGGCAGGGACUCCACACAGACAGAGCACAUGAAGCCAGUGGACCUGUCGCUCUCUCCUCCUCCGCUCAGCCAAGACCCCCCUGCUGUAAGGUGGAUUGAGGGUGUCUAGCAGGAACAAGAGGAGAAGAGAGCAAACGCAGAUGAAAAUGUUACUGGAAAGGGCAGCUACACUGAAAAACCGCCUCCUCUGAGAAUUGUCCUCGGCAGACAUGAAAAAAAUUGCAUUUUGUACCACAUAAAAGCCUCAUCUCCAUAGAAGGAAGAGAAAAGGAGAGAGAUGCUGCUCUUGGUAUUUUGGACAGGCUGCCUUAAAAGCAGCAUCUCUCUCCUUUUCUCUCAUUACCUGAAGAAAAACUGUGCCAUUAAAUUGAAAUUUAAUAUUCAAAAUUGUGUUUUAAUAUAGCUAUUCGCCUCCAUCCAUCCAAAUGUGGCUUCUGUCGCCGGCAUAUCUUAAAGCAAUUUAAUUGGACUAAUAGAGACAGCUGUUAAUAGCAGGGCUUCUAUUGUUUGUCUUUGGUGGGUUUUCAUCAAGGCUGAACCCUCAGGACACACUGAUAGAGUUUGAAGUAGAUUCAGUUGGAAUCCAGAAGAGAGCUUUUGGCUUCUGCAAGCAACACGGAGAGAGAUUUGACACAACACACACACAAGCACGUGGCGUAUGGCUUCUCUCAGAAAGUUCCCCAAAAUCCGCUGGAGUAAUUCAAUUGCGAGUUUCAGCUUGCCAGUAACACCAUAUGCAUCUUCCAUGUAGUCAAGAAUAGGCAUAAGAGUAAAGAUGCAAAAAGAUGGAUAUAUACUCCCAUUUGUAUCCCCAUUUAUAACACCUCGUGAGCAGGACAUAUGUGCGACUUCUCAGAGAAUGGAAAAACCUCAUCACCAACGUCAAGAAAAGAGGUCAAGUCCAAGGUCAAGGAUUCGGCAGCACAUAUUAAACAUGAACAGGAAGAUAUACAGCAGAAGCACUAUCAAACACUCCUCUAUCUGCACAUAAUCAAAGGGCAUUAGAGACAGAGGAGCUUCAAACGGCCUGCAUUACAGAGGCAGCCCUGUAAUGAUAUGACAAUGGAGAAGCAUCUCUGGAAUAUUAAGGUGCCAUGCGCCGGAAUUCACAAUGAAUUCAGACACCGGCUCCAAUCCCCAUGUUGGUCGAUGAUGAGUCAGGCCCAUGCGAGCAGCCUCCAAUAUGAGCCAACUUACAUCAGACAAAAAGCAGCAGAUCUGGAAUAAGAUUUAUUAUUUGCCAUAUCAAAGAGCAUCACAGAGCGUGACUGCACCAGAUCAGUGGAUGGGGGGUGAGUGCUACCUAAAU
ensembl:lncRNA